GACGAACGCUGGCGGCGUGCCUAAUACAUGCAAGUAGAACGCUGAAGCUUGGUGCUUGCACCGAGCGGAUGAGUUGCGAACGGGUGAGUAACGCGUAGGUAACCUGCCUGGUAGCGGGGGAUAACUAUUGGAAACGAUAGCUAAUACCGCAUAACAGUAGAUAUCGCAUGAUAUGUGCUUGAAAGGUGCAAUUGCAUCACUACCAGAUGGACCUGCGUUGUAUUAGCUAGUUGGUGAGGUAACGGCUCACCAAGGCAACGAUACAUAGCCGACCUGAGAGGGUGAUCGGCCACACUGGGACUGAGACACGGCCCAGACUCCUACGGGAGGCAGCAGUAGGGAAUCUUCGGCAAUGGACGGAAGUCUGACCGAGCAACGCCGCGUGAGUGAAGAAGGUUUUCGGAUCGUAAAGCUCUGUUGUAAGAGAAGAACGAGUGUGAGAGUGGAAAGUUCACACUGUGACGGUAUCUUACCAGAAAGGGACGGCUAACUACGUGCCAGCAGCCGCGGUAAUACGUAGGUCCCGAGCGUUGUCCGGAUUUAUUGGGCGUAAAGCGAGCGCAGGCGGUUAGAUAAGUCUGAAGUUAAAGGCUGUGGCUUAACCAUAGUACGCUUUGGAAACUGUUUAACUUGGGUGCAAGAGGGGAGAGUGGAAUUCCAUGUGUAGCGGUGAAAUGCGUAGAUAUAUGGAGGAACACCGGUGGCGAAAGCGGCUCUCUGGCUUGUAACUGACGCUGAGGCUCGAAAGCGUGGGGAGCAAACAGG
rnacentral:rRNA from 1 species